AAGUCGUAACAAGGUUUCCGUAGGUGAACCUGCGGAAGGAUCAUUAAUGAAUACUUGAGUCGCCUCGGCGCUCAAACCCUCAUUUCCAACUCUGUGCAUCUUAUCAUGUCCGUGCCGCAGUUUACUCUGCCACGGGCUCACCUUACAAAACACUAGUCAAAGAAUGUAUAAAAUUAUAAAACAAAUAAAACUUUCAACAACGGAUCUCUUGGCUCUCGCAUCGAUGAAGAACGCAGCGAAAUGUGAUAAGUAAUGUGAAUUGCAGAAUUCAGUGAAUCAUCCAAUCUUUGAACGCACCUUGCACUUCUUGGUAUUCCGAGGAGUAUGUCUGUUUGAGUGUCAUGAACUCUUCAACUGUGCAACUUUAUUGCUGCACAGCUUGGUUUCUGACGGUUGCUACUCGUAGCUCUGUCGUAAUACAUUAGCCGCCCUAGCUGAUCUCGGAUUGACUCAGUGUAAUAGACUAUUCGCUGAGGACGAGAUUGUAGGCCAGCUGCCAAUCAUGCUAGUCAUCUUUGAAAUUAGACCUCAAAUCAGAUAGGAUUACCCGCUGAACUUAAGCAUAUCAAUAAGCGGAGGAAAAGAAGCUAACAAGGAUUCCCCUAGUAACGGCGAGUGAAGCGGGAAGAGCUCAAAUUUGUAAUCUGGCUGCUUCGCAGUCCGAGUUGUAAUCUCGAGAAGUGUUUUCCGUGUCGGACCGCAUACAAGUCUGUUGGAAUACAGCGUGCUAUAGGUGACAACCCUGUUCAUGAUGCGGACUACCGAUGCUCUGUGAUACACUUUCGAAGAGUCGAGUUGUUUGGGAAUGCAGCUCAAAUUGGGUGGUAAAUUCCAUCUAAAGCUAAAUAUUGGCGAGAGACCGAUAGCGAACAAGUACCGUGAGGGAAAGAUGAAAAGCACUUUGGAAAGAGAGUUAACAGUACGUGAAAUUGUUGGAAGGGAAACGCUUCAGGUCAGACUUGCUAGUCGGAGUUCAGCCGCAAGGUGUACUCUUCGACGCGCAGGCCAGCAUCAGUUUUCGGGGGUGCAAAAUAGUUUAGGGAAGGUAGCAGUCUCGGCUGUGUUAUAGCUCUUUACAGGAUGCAUCCUUGGGGACUGAGGAACGCAGUGUGCUUCUUGCAUGGGAUUAGUCCUAUUCACACUUUGGAUGCUGGUGCAAUGGCCUGAAACGACC
rnacentral:rRNA from 1 species